rnacentral:rRNA from 1 species
CCUACGGGUGGCAGCAGUGAGGAAUAUUGGUCAAUGGACGAGAGUCUGAACCAGCCAAGUAGCGUGAAGGAUGACUGCCCUAUGGGUUGUAAACUUCUUUUAUAAAGGAAUAAAACGAGGCACGUGUGCCUUUUUGCAUGUACUUUAUGAAUAAGGAUCGGCUAACUCCGUGCCAGCAGCCGCGGUAAUACGGAGGAUCCGAGCGUUAUCCGGAUUUAUUGGGUUUAAAGGGAGCGUAGAUGGGUUGUUAAGUCAGUGGUGAAAGUUUGCGGCUCAACCGUAAAAUUGCAAUUGAUACUGGCAGUCUUGAGUAUAGUUGCGGUAGGCGGAAUGCGUGGUGUAGCGGUGAAAUGCUUAGAUAUCACGCAGAACCCCGAUUGCGAAGGCAGCUUACUAAACUGUGACUGACAUUGAUGCUCGAAAGUGUGGGUAGCAAACAGGAUUAGAUACCCCUGUAGUC